ACGGUUAUAAAUCAACAUAUUGAUUUAUAAGCAUGGAAAUCCCCUGAGUGAAACAACGAAUUGCUGUGUGUAGUCUUUGCCCAUCACCCACGAUGGGCUUUUUUUUAA
rnacentral:other from 1 species